CAAAGCAAUAGGUUGUCCGCUUGUGAUAAAUUCCCGCUGUGCAGCACCUCUGAGCUGGCCCACAGCCCAGGGGGACAGCAGCAGCGUCCUGUCCCCGUGUCUCCUUUCCAGUCGCCGUGCUGUGACGAGGAGGGCUGGGUCGUGGGGAGCCCAUGCGCAUGGGACAGCACCCGCGCCAUUCAGAGCUGCCGCCCCCACCUCCGGGAUCCCGGCACCAGACCCAGGGACCCUCCAGACGCAAACGGGCGGCGGCGGCGCGGCCGGUCUCGUACAGCCCGGGGCGGGGCAGAGAGCCGGAGUCCAGGGGCAGGAGGAGAGUCCGCUGCCGCCCCCCAGAGACAGGACCAGGCCAAGCUGCCGGCUGCUCAAGGCCAGGUGACAUGCCGGCGGCAGCCAGGGGGGCCGAGGCUGUGCGAUCAGUCCCUGCUCUGGUUCUGCUGGCUAACUGUGGUGUCCUUCCCCCAGGCUGAGGCCCCUGUGUCUGGCGGACGUCGGUGGCCCAACCGUGGGUCAGUGUCAAGGUAUCGUCCCUGGACACUUGUGCGGUCAGCGCAGGACCCCGGCACCCACAGUCCCGCAGGUAGCCUGGACAGAGCUGGGGCCUCUGGUCACUGGCCAUCCUACAUUUCUGUUCACCUUCACGAAACUGGCUUCAGCCAAGGCUGUCGGGACUAGGCCAUUCACACCUCGCUAGAUUUAGCUGUCUGGUCAGUUUUCCUCUGACAGGUGCGAGACAGGAGCUGUGAUUCUGUGCUUUUCUGCCCAACUGUGCAGGGCUGAGGACAGACAGGCAGGCAGGCGCCCUCUCUAGUGUGACGAAGACGACUCACCCUCAGCUGGUAGGGUAACUAAGAGCAGCACAAACACUCCCUCCCAUUCACACACCUCAGGAAAAUGUC
rnacentral:lncRNA from 1 species